GAUGAACGCUGGCGGCGUGCCUAAUACAUGCCAGUCGAGCGAACAGACGAGGAGCUUGCUCCUCUGACGUUAGCGGCGGACGGGUGAGUAACACGUGGAUAACCUACCUAUAAGACUGGGAUAACUUCGGGAAACCGGAGCUAAUACCGGAUAAUAUAUUGAACCGCAUGGUUCAAUAGUGAAAGACGGUUUUGCUGUCACUUAUAGAUGGAUCCGCGCCGCAUUAGCUAGUUGGUAAGGUAACGGCUUACCAAGGCAACGAUGCGUAGCCGACCUGAGAGGGUGAUCGGCCACACUGGAACUGAGACACGGUCCAGACUCCUACGGGAGGCAGCAGUAGGGAAUCUUCCGCAAUGGGCGAAAGCUUGACGGAGCAACGCCGCGUGAGGGAUGAAGGUCUUCGGAUCGUAAAACUCUGUUAUUAGGGAAGAACAAAUGUGUAAGUAACUAUGCACGUCUUGACGGUACCUAAUCAGAAAGCCACGGCUAACUACGUG
rnacentral:rRNA from 1 species